rnacentral:lncRNA from 1 species
GCGACAUAGCGGUCGAUUGAAAGUUGAGACGCUCAGUUUAGCGACAUGGCGGUCGAUUUUAAAUUGAGUUGCUCAGUUUAAUGAAUGGCGAUCGAUUUGAGUUUUGGUGCUCAGUUUAAUGACAUUGCGAUCGAUUUGAGUUUUGGUGCUCAGUUUAAUGACAUUGCGAUCGAUUUGAGUUUUGUUGCUUAGUUUAAUGACAUGGCAGUCGGAUGCUCAGUUUAACGACGUGAUGGUCAAUUGUUCAGUUUAACGACUUGACGGUCAUAUUUGAAUAUUAUUUGCUCAAUUUAGCGACAUGGCGGUCGAUUUUAAAUUGAGUUGCUCAGUUUAGAGAUAUGGAGGUCGAUUUGACUUUUGGUGCUCAAUUUAAUGACAUGGCGGUCGGAUGUUCAGUUUAAUGACUUAAUAGUCAUUCGUUCAGUUUAACGACUUGAUGGUCAUUUGUUCAGUUUAACGACUUGAUGGUCAAUUUGAAUUUGA